UACGGAGGGGGCUAGCGUUGUUCGGAAUUACUGGGCGUAAAGCGUACGCAGGCGGCUUUGCAAGACAGGUGUGAAAUCCCCGGGCCUAACCUGGGAACUGCAUUUGUGACUGCAUGGCUAGAGUUUGUCAGAGGGGGGUGGAAUUCCACGUGUAGCAGUGAAAUGCGUAGAGAUGUGGAGGAACACCGAUGGCGAAGGCAGCCCCCUGGGUCAAGAUUGACGCUCAUGCACGAAAGCGUGGGGAGCAAACAGG
rnacentral:rRNA from 1 species